rnacentral:rRNA from 1 species
UACGUAGGGUGCGAGCGUUAAUCGGAAUUACUGGGCGUAACGCGUGCGCAGGCGGUUAGGCGUGUCCGAUGUGAAAGCCCCGGGCUCAACCUGGGAAUGGCAUUGGAAACUGGCGGACUCGAGUGUGGCAGAGGGGGGUGGAAUUCCGCGUGUAGCAGUGAAAUGCGUAGAGAUGCGGAGGAACACCGAUGGCGAAGGCAGCCCCCUGGGCUAACACUGACGCUCAGGCACGAAAGCGUGGGGAGCGAACAGG